UCCCGUUUAGCUCAGUUGGUAGAGCGCGUCACUAGUAACGUGGUUGUGAGAAAAUCACAGUACAUGACGAGGUCAGUCGUUCGAGUCGGCUAAUGGGAA